CUGGCACGGAAGUUUCAGGAAUGAACAGGAGGUGGUUACAAGACUGACAUGGGAAUGCUCCAGUGACAGUGGAGUAGCUGCUGUUCCCCUUGGAAAUCCUCUUCCACCAUCCUCAGCUGGAGGGUAAGGAUGUCUUUGAUCCAGCAUGAUCAGUGAGGUCAGAGGACAGAAUGCCUUUUUUAUUCACCACAUUUGGAAAACACGAGGACUUAGAGAGAUCAAAGGAGAACCUCUAGAAAUCAGUGUGAACAGCGUACUCCUGCAAAGGCUGGCUUGAACUUCUGGAUUGUGGAGUGAUCUUUCCUAAACCAGUCUGGAAUGGCAGGAUGAGAAUGCCAGGUCUGCUGGGGAAGAUGAACAUCAGUCUUUGGCCUGUUGCAAGUCUCGUAAGAUUUACUUUGGAUUUCCUGUUACCACAAAAAAAAAAGGAUGUUCCCACUGAUUUAAAUGUGAUGGCUGGAAGCAUAGAAGACAGCAUGAAAUAAACAAGUAAACUAGUCUAGUGCUAAGAUAACUAGUUCUUGGUCCAGUUUUGGAGGUGAGGAGGCCCACAGGCCACAUGAUUCAGAUGUUCUCCAGAGUUGUGGGUCUUUAGUU